rnacentral:rRNA from 1 species
UACGACUACAUAUCAGGCAUAUCAAUAAGCGGAGGAAAAGAAACUAACAAGGAUUCCCUUAGUAACGGCGAGUGAAGCGGGAAGAGCUCAAAUUUGAAAUCUUCAAGGUUUUACCUUGACGAAUUGUAGUUUAAAGAAGUGUUUUCUGUUGAAGUUUUGGUAAAAGUUCUUUGGAAUAGGACAUCAUAGAGGGUGAGAAUCCCGUAUUUGACCAUUACUUUUCAGCUGUGUGAUACACUUUCAAAGAGUCGGAUUGUUUGGGAAUGCAGUCCAAAAUGGGUGGUAAAUUUCAUCUAAAGCUAAAUAUUGGCGAGAGACCGAUAGCGAACAAGUACCGUGAGGGAAAGAUGAAAAGAACUUUGAAAAGAGAGUUAAACAGUACGUGAAAUUGUCAAAAGGGAAGCGUUUGACACCAGUGUUGUUUUCUCGAAAAUCAAUUAAAAAGAGUUGGAUUUUGUGUUGUAUUGACCUUUAUCAGCUUUCUGCACUCUUUUCCAGCUUUUUUUAAUGCACUUUUCGUUUAACAAGUCAACAUCAGUUUCUUUUGUUGUAAAAGGGUCAUUGGAAGGUGGCUUUCUCUUCGGAGAAAGUGUUUAUAGCCUUUGAUCUCUGCAAUCGGAGAGACUGAGGUCUGCAGCGUAGAUCCUUCGGGGUUAGGUACAUUUGUGCUAAGCUACAGCUUUUCAUAGACAACUUGUUGACUAUGUUUAGUCUUGUAACUUACCCGCUUAUGCUAUUUUACCUACGCUUAGGAUGUUGAGCGCAUGUCUCUCUCU